AGCUGUGGAGGGAAGAGCUCUGGAGCAGCAGGGUGCUUGACUGAUAUUGAGCUGGAGAAAAUUAGAUUAAGGCUUAGUCUACCUAACAGGGCUGCAACUGCAGGUACCCUGCUGACAAAAGGAGUUUUCUGCUGCCAGGAUUUCACCAGCUUCUUGAAAUGGGCGAAGCUUUGCCAGCAGAAGCCUUCUUCCACAAGGAAAGGUAGGCAGUGUUCCAGCCUGCACGGAGCUUCUGGGAGUGGGUUGCAGGGAGCACCAUGUACAUAUGCGCACCUGCACCUGGCUGGCAAGACAGCUGGGCAGCCUGGAGAGCAGCUCCCUGCAAGCCCUUUGCUUGGGGAUAGCUGGAACAAUAGGAGCUACUGCCACAGACGCAAGCCACGCGUGAGGCUGAUCAGGAAUCUGCAGCUUGUGGGCCAAAUGUAAACGUGGGGCAAGGCAGGAUUGAAUGUAAUUGCAGCUGUGCGUGUCUGUGCCUGGCCUGCACUAGAAAGUUCUACUGAUAUGACCCCACCAGUAAAGUAUCCAUAAGCCUACAAAACCCCAGGUCUGCGUCAGCUGAGUGACAUCACAUUCUCGAGCAACAAAAUCCACACAAAUUUGUUCUUGUUGGCUGUAGCAGUAUCCAUCAGCAAUCCCAGAAUGAUUGGUGCCAACUACUCUGGUCAAAAUUAUAAACUCCCUCUAGCCACCUAUCGCCUGCUCUUUCUUUUGGAAAAAGUUUCUUUUCUUACUAUCCAUCCAUUUUUAUCACAAAGAGACAUAUGCACUGAAGCCACUUACACCUGCCUUGAGCAAGAAGGAGGUUCUUGAUCUCAGCCUAUGGGGAGAGAUGGUGUGGAAACUCAAGAACAAAGAUAUUUACAAAGAGAUAGUGGGGACAUGCAGGUCACGGGGUCCAAACCAGGCAGAAGCAGUGCCAGCCCAAAGCCAAGGCUAAAGAUUCUGCCAGUUGUACCCCACUGUGAACCCGAGAACAAAAAAUCUGGAGCCAUCCCAUAAAGGUUUCCCUUCUAUCAGUGAGCUCCUUGCCAUUCUUGGCAAUGACCCAGCCAACACCCCGUUUCUGUGGAUGCCUUCCAGGACACUGAGGAACAGGCCUCUUAGCUAGGGGAGGAAAGGGGGGUAUAACUUCUGGGCAAGGAUGAGGGAGAAGCUUAUACAGAUGUUGCCCUGGCUUGGCCUGUCAGCCACUCUUCUGAACACAGGAUGGCUGAAGUCAGAGCUUGUUCCAACGGACAGAGUACAGUAAGGAAGUCAAAGACAGCUCUGGUAGUUGCUGCAAUUUUUUCCUACCCCCUCAGCACAUUUCCCUUUCCUCAAAGUGAUCCUGAGGACAGAAAGAC